UACGUAGGGUGCGAGCGUUAAUCGGAAUUACUGGGCGUAAAGCGUGCGCAGGCGGGCUUUUAAGCCAGACGUGAAAUCCCCGGGCUUAACCUGGGAAUGGCGUUUGGGACUGGGAGUCUGGAGUGCGGGCAGAGGAGACUGGAAUUCCUGGUGUAGCAGUGAAAUGCGUAGAUAUCAGGAGGAACACCGAUGGCGGAAGGCAGGUCUCUGGGCUGACACUGACGCUCAUGCACGAAAGCGUGGGG
rnacentral:rRNA from 1 species